CGGGCGAGGUGCCGGUCUAAGUCCCUUGGAACGGGGCGUCACAGAGGGUGAGAAUCCCGUAUGCGACCGGCGGCCGAGCCCAUGUGAAACCCCUUCGACGAGUCGAGUUGUUUGGGAAUGCAGCUCAAAAUGGGUGGUAAAUUUCAUCUAAAGCUAAAUACCGGCCAGAGACCGAUAGCGCACAAGUAGAGUGAUCGAAAGAUGAAAAGCACUUUGGAAAGAGAGUCAAAAAGUACGUGAAAUUGUUGAAAGGGAAGCGCUUGCAACCAGACCUGCCCGCGGGUGAUCAGCCGUCCUUCUGGGCGGUGCACUCGCCCGCGAACAGGCCAGCAUCGGUUCGGGCGGUCGGAUAAAGGCCUUGGGAACGUAGCUCCCCUCGGGGAGUGUUAUAGCCCUCGGUGCAAUGCGGCCUGCCCGGACCGAGGACCGCGCUUCGGCUAGGAUGCUGGCGUAAUGGUUGUAAGCGGCCCGUCUUGAAACACGGACCAAGGAGUCGACCAACUAUGCGAGUGUUUGGGCGUCAAACCCACACGCGCAAUGAAAGUGAACGGAGGUGGGAACCCCUCGCGGGGCGCACCAUCGACCGAUCCAGAUGUCUUCGGAUGGAUUUGAGUACGAGCAUAGCUGGUCGGACCCGAAAGAUGGUGAACUAUGCCUGAAUAGGGUGAAGCCAGAGGAAACUCUGGUGGAGGNNNNNNNNNNUNNNNNNNNNNAANNNNNNNNNNNAANUUGGGCAUAGGGGCGAAAGACUAAUCGAACCAUC
rnacentral:rRNA from 1 species